UUUGUCAAACAGAUGUUCCAAAUUAUUUUCCAACAAAAUACAUAUGUAUACUCCAGAAGCAUGAAAGGGAGGGAAACUUGUAUUGAAUAUUUGGCAUUUUCUGAAAGAUGGCGAAAAGGCGAUUGCUGCUGAUGUUGAAAUCCUUGGAUAUACACCCAUAUUCCCAGUUGGACCUCCUCUCCCGCACCACCACACCACGGGUUUUGGGUUAUCUGGAGAACAGGCGAAAGGUUCACGAGGAUGCCAUAAACUUUUGUCAGGAUGUUUUGCGGAAAAAGGCGGUUGAUUGGCAAGCCAUUUGCCGUAACAAUCUAUCACAAGAUUCACAACCAAUUCAUAAUGUGGAUUUGGUUGUUACCAUUGGUGGCGAUGGGACUCUUUUGCAGGCCAGCCAUUUCAUGGACGAUUCUGUUCCUGUCCUGGGGGUGAAUUCAGACCCCACUCAAGUCCAAGAGGUUGAAGAGUUCAGUGAAGAAUUCGAUGCUACUAGAAGCACUGGUCAUCUAUGUGCUGCAACAAUUGGGAACUUCGAACAAGUGCUAGAUGACAUUCUUGAUGACCGAAGAACCCCUUCCAAUUUAUCCAGAAUGUCAAUAUGUCUGAAUUCGCAACUGCUGCCAACCUAUGCUCUUAAUGAUGCUUUACUUGCACACCCUUGUCCAGCAACAGUUUCUCGGUGCUCAUUCAAAAUUAAGAGGGAAGGCCACCCCUGUUCUCCUCUAGUGCACUGUCGAUCAAGUGGUCUUAGAGUCUCAACGGCUGCUGGAUCUACAGCUGCAAUGCUCUCUGCAGGCGGAUUUGCAAUGCCCAUUUUGUCUCAGGAUCUUCAGUACAUGGUACGAGAACCCAUUUCACCUGGAGCAGCCUACUCAAGCUUAAUGCAUGGAUUACUAAAACCUGAUCAGUCUAUGGUUGCAUCAUGGUUUAGUAAAGAUGGUGUAAUAUAUAUUGAUGGUUCUGAUGUUUCCUACUCCAUCAAAUAUGGGGACACUAUUGAAAUGUCUUCCAAAGCCCCGGUUUUGAAAGUUUUCCUGCCUCACCACUUGUUAUCAUAGAGUAGAUGUGCAGAACAGAAUAAAGAAAUGUUGGUGUGAGCAGUGUGUGAAAUGUACAUAUGAGGAGCUCUCAUAAAUAUACAAAUGACAGCAUACUAGAGUUUGUAUCAGGGAUCCAAGCACCAAAGCUGAAUUUCAGGGAACAGAAAUAAUCCAGGUAACAGCUUACCUGGAUUUUUCAGAAAAUUUUUCUUGGAGUUCUUGCUUGUCCUUGGACAUGGUCUCAAUCUCUUGCUCCAUCAUCUGGCACCUCUUGGCCAUUUUCUGGUAUGCUGUAUGCACCUGCUCCAGUUUUUCUGUGAAUUUUUCUUGCAUCAUUUCACAUUUCUGCCGGCACUGGGCUACUAUUCUGUUCAUCUUGUAUUGCAUCUCCAGUUCCUUUUGUCCAAUGUAGAACAUUACACUUCUAUAUGCACUUUUCAUUACUAGGCUCGUUCAAGGAAA